AUUACGGGAAUAGAUAGUUUGGGCAGAAUAGAGAAGAUCUGCCAGCGAGAUCACGCUGACAAGGGAUGAUGUCUUGAGCAUUCCGAUCGUCUGAUUGCCUGUCGGCGGUA
rnacentral:sRNA from 1 species